rnacentral:rRNA from 1 species
AGUGAACGCUGGCGGUAGACCUAACACAUGCAAGUCGAACGGCAGCACAGUAAGAGCUUGCUCUUACGGGUGGCGAGUGGCGGACGGGUGAGGAAUACAUCGGAAUCUACUUUUUCGUGGGGGAUAACGUAGGGAAACUUACGCUAAUACCGCAUACGACCUACGGGUGAAAGCAGGGGAUCUUCGGACCUUGCGCGAUUGAAUGAGCCGAUGUCGGAUUAGCUAGUUGGCGGGGUAAAGGCCCACCAAGGCGACGAUCCGUAGCUGGUCUGAGAGGAUGAUCAGCCACACUGGAACUGCGACACGGUCCAGACUCCUACGGGAGGCAGCAGUGGGGAAUAUUGGACAAUGGGCGCAAGCCUGAUCCAGCCAUACCGCGUGGGUGAAGAAGGCCUUCGGGUUGUAAAGCCCUUUUGUUGGGAAAGAAAAGCAGCAGGUUAAUACCCCGCUGUUCUGACGGUACCCAAAGAAUAAGCGCCGGCUAACUUCGUG